CCCCGUGGGAAUCAAACCCACAACCCUGGCGUUGCAAGCACCAUGCUCUACCAACUGAGCCACAGGGAAGACAGAACAUGUAGUUGUUUGUUCUGAUUUCAUUCUUGAUUAGAUGUACUCCAGAUUUCAACCCACAGACCAAAUAAAACAAGACAACAGUAAACAUGUCGUUCCCCUCGAUGCAGCAGCCCCCUUGGGCCAAUAUGUGUAAUUUUGUAAAGGCAUGAUUGCUAUGGCAAGACGCAUCAUUCACCCAAGUUUCCUCAAAAUCGGGGUAGUGCUGUCUGAGAUAUGUGUGUGACUAAAGGCUCUGCAUGGUCAGUCUGACGUGUACAUUGGCUGUGCAGCAUUUACGGUGAUAUGGCCUUUGCAGAAGUCAGGGCAUUCAUGCUUCUUGUGCUUUAUGGAGCAGCGUAGAGCUGUUAAGCAGAGCGUUGAAGGACGUUGUCAAGGAAGUGAGUUUGUGUGUUUUACAGGACCUCCUGCCCCCACCUACAGUCAACCAAUCAUGCCAAUGCGGAACUAUAUGAAGCAUUGUUACUACAUUUGGGAGGUGCACGGCGAUGCAUUCCUCUGGAUGCUCCGCAAUUAUGUCACAUCCUCCCUAUGGAGCCACCGACCACAUUUUCAGAUCAAGCUUAAAUUGGCUUUAAUUUGGCUUUAAUGUAGGAACGAACAGAUGGAGACAGAUCCACAGUCCCCUCUCCGAUUUCAUCGUGGGGGACAACAAAAUAGAGGAGAAUAUUGUGGUGUGUUUACUACAUUACUAUACUGAGUAUCACAUUGGAUGCAACAGUCAGGCUGGGCAAGAUUGUCUAACAAGUUUAAUCUUUCAAAAUCUAAUUGCUCAACCAUCCAUGAUUCAAAAUGACAUGAGUGAGGUUUUAACUAGUAGUGAAUUCAAAGAUACAGGAUAGCUACCUAACUUCCUUCUUUGGCUGCACUACAAAUUAUGAUCAUGUUGCCAUUUUCAGGAUUUGUUUUUCUUCCAGAAACUAUGAGUGUACUUAUUUGACCAUUAGUCAUCAGUCUCUAUCACGCAACAGUUUCAUUUAAUUAUAGUUGACAGGAAAUGAUAGUUGACAUGAAAUGACAAGGCAUGUCUACACUUAUAUUCCAUUAUGUUGGCUAAUGGUUGCUUAAUCUUGUGGUUUAAAUAAUUAUCUGCACUAGUUUGAGCUAGUUCAGAAUCUGCAGACUGGAAUCUGCAGACUGGAACGUGACUAAACAAAUAGUUGAAACAAGGUUAAAUAAAAUCACCCUGGAUAUUAGUAUUGUUUUAGCAAAGAUUAUUUCCUGCUAGUGACAGACAUGUAGCAGCUUUUUCCUUUUUCAGUUUUUGUUUCAAUACGCUGGAUCUCUUCAACAUAGUGGGGGUGCCUAGAUGAUUUAUUAUUUUCUUACACUGGAAUUAUUUAAGUUUUUCUCAGAGAGGAAUAUUUUCAGUGAUGAAAUGACAGACGCGUGUUACACACAGUCAGAAAGCCUAUCCCAUCAGGCCCAGUAAUCCUCCUGCAACAUUCCUAGGAUUAGAUAACUGCCUAGCCCUUGGUUUAUUUAUUGGCACUGGCUAUAUUAGCACCAGCCCUGGAUGUCUGUCUAUGGUCUCCUCCACAGUAGGCUUAGACGGGACAGGAGCUGUAAUCAGAGAAAAAUCUACGAUUUGGUUUAUUUUUUCCAUCAGAAAUAAAAAAGAGAUGGAGCUACUGAGGCCUGCACUUCUUAUUGUCUUUAUCUCAAAAGCAAUUGCAAAACCAUUCAACAGACUUGGACAUCACAAUGGUCCACAGUUCAACAGACUUGGACAUCACAAUGGACCACAGUUCAACAGGCCUGGACACCACAAUGUUCCACAGUUCAACAGGCCUGGACACCACAAUAUUCCACAGUUCAACAGGCCUGGACACCACAAUAUUCCACGAAUCCACGAGUCCUCAGAAUCUGAUGAAUCAAGAAUGACACGAGGACCAACUGCUCCAACCACAGUGAACCCUCCCACUGCUGCCAUGUCAACUAUUCCACCAGUGACAGAAAUGUCCACGAAUGGGCCAAUUGUCAGUGAAACGACACCGUCACCAGGGAAUGUUACUGCACGUGUCACUGAGGACAUUACAACUCCCGCUCCAGCAACUAGAGGAGACAACUAAUAAUGAGAGUAUUCAUGAGAAUACUUAAUUAUAAUUAUUCCAGAGUUUAUAAAUCAUUGCUUUUUUUACGUCAUCAUUUUUUGUAUGGACUGUUUACAGUACCUGCAUUGUAUGAAAUAUCUUGGAUCUUUUUAUAUUUUUUAUGCAGCAGCAUUUCUAGGUAAUGUUAUCCAUAGCUUCAUAAUAACCCUAUCAGAAGCCCUGUAAUCUUUACUAGUUCAACAUAUGGUGGUAGUUACGGGUGUUUGAAUGUCUGUGAACUAGGUGAUCAUAAUCUGCUGGGUGUGAUAGAAACAUCUGUGAAUGUUUGAUUGAUUUAUUGAUAUUGUUGUGUUAUGCUCCAGUAUGUCUCUUUACAUACAGUAUGUAGUGACUUGCUCUUUGGAGUUUUAGGCUGGUUAUCUGUAAAGUACAUUGCGACAACUGCUGAUUUAAAAAGGGCUUACUAACAUACAUUUGAUUGAUAUUUGUUGUGAACUUGUGUACUCAAUAAAGAGAUAGAAAAAUA